GCAAGCAAAAAGCUUGCUAUCACAGGCACCGAGGCAGGCAGCAAGCAAAUCCAAACACUGUGCUUCUUGCCCAGCCAGGUGAGGCAAGCCCCGGCAAGGGAUCCAAGCUGACCCUUAGUGUAGAUGAAGUGUAACAUUCAAAACUAUAAGAUGUCAAACUGCUAAAAGAUUGGACAAUUACUUUGCAGGACUCCAAGUUAAAGUAUAUCAAAAGCAUUUUCACCACAUUGAAUACUCUAUAACCUUGAAGUCACCAACUGAAAGGACAGAAGAAGAAAAAAAACGAAACAAUAAAGGAACAAAAAAGAAAAAAAAGGCCAAUCAAAACUAGGAAAAAAGAGGGAUAUGUGGAAAACUUGGCAAGCCCAAAAUGCUAUGAAAAAAAUAAGUAAGAAAAAAAAAGACAAGAAGGUCCAAAUUGCUGCUAAAGACAACCAGAAAUUUUGGCCUAACUCAAAAUAACUCGAAUAUGGG
rnacentral:lncRNA from 1 species